GUUUGGUGAAAUACUCUGAUGAUUGUUGUUAUUUAUUUACUUUUGGGUAACGGGGUGUUACAAAUUU
rnacentral:pre_miRNA from 1 species